rnacentral:pre_miRNA from 1 species
UUUGAUGUGAAUUAAUUUAUGUUUGAAUAUACUCACUUAAAAGUGAUACUUAUGAGUUAUGUUGUUUGAAUAC